rnacentral:rRNA from 1 species
AACGAACGCUGGCGGCAUGCCUAACACAUGCAAGUCGAACGAACCCUUCGGGGUGAGUGGCGCACGGGUGCGUAACACGUGGGAACCUGCCCUUAGGUUCGGAAUAACACAGAGAAAUUUGUGCUAAUACCGGAUAAUGUCUUCGGACCAAAGAUUUAUCGCCUUUGGAUGGGCCCGCGUAGGAUUAGCUAGUUGGUGAGGUAAAGGCUCACCAAGGCGACGAUCCUUAGCUGGUCUUAGAGGAUGAUCAGCCACACUGGGACUGAGACACGGCCCAGACUCCUACGGGAGGCAGCAGUGGGGAAUAUUGGACAAUGGGCGAAAGCCUGAUCCAGCAAUGCCGCGUGAGUGAUGAAGGCCUUAGGGUUGUAAAGCUCUUUCACCGGAGAAGAUAAUGACGGUAUCCGGAGAAGAAGCCCCGGCUAACUUCGUGCCAGCCGCCGCAGUAAUAC